UACAGAGGUCUCAAGCGUUGUUCGGAUUCAUUGGGCGUAAAGGGUGCGUAGGUGGCGCGCUAAGUCAGGUGUGAAAUCUCGGAGCUUAACUCCGAAACUGCAUUUGAUACUGGCGUGCUUGAGGGCUGGAGAGGAGACUGGAAUUCACGGUGUAGCAGUGAAAUGCGUAGAUAUCGUGAGGAAGACCAGUGGCGAAGGCGGGUCUCUGGACAGUUCCUGACGCUGAGGCACGAAGGCCAGGGGAGCAAACGGG
rnacentral:rRNA from 1 species